UUCCAUUCGACCCGUCUUGGAACACGGACCAAGGAGUAGACCAGGCAUGCAAGUGAUAGGGUGGAAAAACCCGAUCGCGCAGGGAAACCGAGUUUAAGCUGUCGUUCCACGACAGCAGCGCACCCGGCGUCUCCGACAACGGGCUGCAGCAAGAGCAUGCAUGUUCUGACCCGAAAGAUGGUGAACUACGCUUGAGUAAGCUGAAGCCAGGGGAAACUCUGGUGG
rnacentral:rRNA from 1 species